rnacentral:rRNA from 1 species
UCUACGGGAGGGCAGGCAGGUAGGGAAUUUUCCACCAAUGGGCGAAAGCCUUGAUGGAGCACGCCGCGUGCAGGAUGAUGCUUAGGGUGUAAACUGCUUUUAUAUGUGACGAUAAUGACGGUAGCAUAUGAAUAAGGAUCGGCUAACUCCGUGCCAGCAGCCGCGGUCAUACGGAGGAUCCAAGCGUUAUCCGGAAUUACUGGGCGUAAAGAGUUGCGUAGGUGGCAUAGUAAGUAGAUAGUGAAAGAGUGUGGCUCAACCAUAUACACAUUAUCUAAACUGCUGAGCUAGAGGAUGAGAGAGGUUAUUGGAAUUCCCAGUGUAGGAGUGAAAUCCGUAGAUAUUGGGAGGAACACCGAUGGCGUAGGCAGAUAACUGGCUCAUUCCUGACACUAAGGCACGAAAGCGUGGGGAGCAAACGGGAUUAGAUACCCCGGUAGUCCACGCCGUAAACUAUGGAUGCUAGCUGUUAGAAGUAUCGACCCUUCUAGUAGCGAAGCUAACGCGUUAAGCAUCCCGCCUGUGGAGUACGGUCGCAAGACUAAAACAUAAAGGAAUUGACGGGGACCCGCACAAGCGGUGGAGCGUGUUGUUUAAUUCGAUGGUAAGCGAAGAACCUUACCCAGGCUUGACAUCCUUGGAAGUUCUGCGAAAGCAGAGUGUGCCUUCGGGAACCAAGUGACAGGUGAUGCAUGGCCGUCGUCAGCUCGUGUCGUGAGAUGUUUGGUUAAGUCCAUCAACGAGCGCAACCCUUUUAGUUAGUUGUAUUUUUCUAGCUAGACUGCCCUGGUAACAGGGAGGAAGGAGGGGAUGAUGUCAGGUCAGUAUUUCCCUUACGUCUGGGGCUACAAACACGCUACAAUGGCCAGUACAAAGGGCAGCCAAGUCGCAAGACGGAGCAAAUCCCAUCAAAGCUGGUCUCAGUUCGGAUAGCAGGCUGAAACUCGCCUGCUUGAAGCUGGAAUCGCUAGUAACGGUAGGUCAGCACACUACCGUGAAUACGUUCCCGGGUCUUGUACACACCGCCCGUCAAACCAUGAAAGUCGCCAAUACCUGACGUCUUAGCUAGUCUAGGCCUAAGGUAGGGGAGAUGAUUGGGGUGAAGUCGUAACAAGGUA